CAACGCCGCGUGAGGGAUGACGGCCUUCGGGUUGUAAACCUCUUUUAGUAGGGAAGAAGGGCUUCGGCUUGACGGUACCUGCAGAAAAAGCACCGGCUAACUACGUGCCAGCAGCCGCGGUAAUACGUAGGGUGCGAGCGUUGUCCGGAAUUAUUGGGCGUAAAGAGCUCGUAGGCGGUUUGUCACGUCUGCUGUGAAAUCCCGAGGCUCAACCUCGGGCCUGCAGUGGGUACGGGCAGACUGGAGUGCGGUAGGGGAGAAUGGAAUUCCUGGUGUAGCGGUGGAAUGCGCAGAUAUCAGGAGGAACACCGAUGGCGAAGGCAGUUCUCUGGGCCGUAACUGACGCUGAGGAGCGAAAGCGUGGGGAGCGAACAGGAUUAGAUACCCUGGUAGUCCACGCCGUAAACGUUGGGCGCUAGAUGUGGGGACCUUUCCACGGUUUCCGUGUCGUAGCUAACGCAUUAAGCGCCCCGCCUGGGGAGUACGGCCGCAAGGCUAAAACUCAAAGGAAUUGACGGGGGCCCGCACAAGCGGCGGAGCAUGCGGAUUAAUUCGAUGCAACGCGAAGAACCUUACCAAGGCUUGACAUAACCGAGAACGCCGCACAAAUGUGGAACUCU
rnacentral:rRNA from 1 species